AAUUAAAUAGAAAUUGAAUACUUGAAGAUUGGUUUCUUAUGGUCCAAGGUAGAUUUCUUGUCCAUUAGAGACUUGAUCUUUAAUGAGAUCUAUCGACAUGCAGAAAAGGUGUAUAGUAAGCUUGUACUUUUGCCCUCAUGUGUUUUGGAUCAUAUUAGCAAACUUAAGGUUUUGUCUUUACUUUAUUCAUACAUAUAUUAAUGGAUAACAAGAAUUUUUUUUAUUAAAGUGGAGAAUAUGUAAGUGUGAUGAUUUUAUUUACCCUGUAUAUAUUUUGUUUAAAAAUUGUCAAUGGGGGAGAUUGUUGACACAUUUAAAGGCAAGAUGAUUUUCGUGGUUGCUUUUGUGGCUGAAGAGUGGCCACAUCUUCGGGCACUGUUUCAUUGCCUUACUUGCCUAUUUUUAGAGUUGACAGAUUUUAGAACAAAAACUUUGGGCUAUUUAUUUUGAAGAUAUUUGGACGAGUAAAGCCCAUAACUUAAAGACAAUUGAGUAGAAACUGAAGACUUAAAGAUUGAUUUCUUAUAGCCCAAGGAAGAUAACUUUUCAAACAAGGAAAGUCACUUUUCAUAUUUUGAAGGCAUUGGAUUAAAUCGAAACUCUUCUGGAAGUAGUAUCUUAUGCUAAUUUUCAGCCUUCUUUUUAGAGAAGUGAUUAUAUUGUAAUUCUUAUAUAUAUAUAAAAACUCAAGUAAUAUAUAAACUUAAGUUUUUCCUAGGUUAAACGAUAACCCGAGACUUUGAGAGUUUGAUAGAGCACAAUUUGUUCAAGUUAGGAACGUGUAUAUGUGCAUUAUUUCUAUGAGUAAUCAAGAGAGUCUCCUGAGUUGCAAAAUUAAGCUUUCGAGGGGAAAGCUUAGUGGGAGGGUGGUCUAGUUUUUGUACAACUAUGAGGUUUCUAAAUUGGUGAGUGUUAGGCUAGUGUUAGGACUUAAAUCAUUGGUUGUAUUGUGAGAAAGAUAGUUGAUCAUUGCUCUUGGCAAGACCUCGCAUACAUAGAUUGGGGUCGAAUUGUGUAAACUAUCUCAGCAUUCUUUACUGUUUUUGCACUUUUGGUUUUGUAGUUAAAGCUGUUGCCACAGUGCCAAUCAUUGUUGCAACCAUAGUUUUUGUUUUGCAAAGCAAGUACCCAUUCGUUUCAACAGG
rnacentral:lncRNA from 1 species